AGAGUUUGAUCCUGGCUCAGGACGAACGCGGCGGCGUGCUUAACACAUGUCUACGAGAAAAGGGUAGCAAUAUGAGUAAAGUGGCGCACGGGUGAGUAACACGUAGGCAAUCUGCCUUUAGGACGGGGACAACCUCGAGAAAUCGAGGCUAAUACCCGAUGAUGCAGCGGCACCGCAUGGUGACAGUUGUUAAAGGCCCGCAAGGGCGCCUAUAGAUGAGCUGCGUCCCAUUAGGUAGUGGCGGGGUAACGGCCCACCAAGCCAUCGAUGGGUAGCUGGUCUGAGAGGAUGAUCAGCCACACUGGAACUGAGACACGGUCCAGACUCCUACGGGAGGCAGCAGUGAGGAAUAUUGCGCAAUGGCCGAAAGGCUGACGCAGCGACGCCGCGUGAAGGAUGAAGUCCGUUAGGAUGUAAACUUCUUUUGUAGGGGAUGAAUGUCCCGGCUUCGGCCGGGAUUGACCGUACCCUGCGAAUAAGGAUCGGCUAACUACGUGCCAGCAGCCGCGGUAAUACGUAGGAUCCGAGCGUUGUCCGGAAUUACUGGGUGUAAAGGGCGUGUAGGUGGAGCUUUAAGUCGGUGGUGAAAGCCUGCAGCUCAACUGCAGAAUUGCCCUCGAUACUGAGGCUCUUGAGUACGGCAGAGGGAGAUGGAAUUCAUGGUGUAGCGGUGAAAUGCGUAGAUAUCAAGUGGAACACCAGUGGCGAAGGCGAGUCCCUGGACAACUCCUGACACUGAGGCACGAAAGCUAGGGGAGCAAACAGGAUUAGAUACCCUGGUAGUC
rnacentral:rRNA from 1 species